GACGAACGCUGGCGGCGUGCUUAACACAUGCAAGUCGAACGAAGAGCGAUGGAAGCUUGCUUCUCUCAAUCUUAGUGGCGAACGGGUGAGUAACGCGUAAUCAACCUGCCCUUCAGAGGGGGACAACAGUUGGAAACGACUGCUAAUACCGCAUACGAUCUAAACUCGGCAUCGAGGAUAGAUGAAAGGUGGCCUCUACAUGUAAGCUAUCACUGAAGGAGGGGAUUGCGUCUGAUUAGCUAGUUGGAGGGGUAACGGCCCACCAAGGCGAUGAUCAGUAGCCGGUCUGAGAGGAUGAACGGCCACAUUGGGACUGAGACACGGCCCAGACUCCUACGGGAGGCAGCAGUGGGGAAUCUUCCGCAAUGGACGAAAGUCUGACGGGGCAACGCCGCGUGAGUGAUGACGGCCUUCGGGUUGUAAAGCUCUGUUAAUCGGGACGAAAGGCCUUCUUGCGAAUAGUGAGAAGGAUUGACGGUACCGGAAUAGAAAGCCACGGCUAACUACGUG
rnacentral:rRNA from 1 species